UGGAGAGUUUGAUCCUGGCUCAGGAUGAACGCUAGCGGCAGGCCUAAUACAUGCAAGUCGGACGGGAUCCGGGAGUAGCUUGCUACUUCCGGUGAGAGUGGCGCACGGGUGCGUAACGCGUGAGCAACCUGCCCAUAUCAGGGGGAUAGCCCGGAGAAAUCCGGAUUAACACCGCAUGACACGCCGGGACGGCAUCGUUCCGGCGUCAAAUAUUCAUAGGAUAUGGAUGGGCUCGCGUGACAUUAGCUAGUUGGUGGGGUAACGGCCCACCAAGGCGACGAUGUCUAGGGGCUCUGAGAGGAGAAUCCCCCACACUGGUACUGAGACACGGACCAGACUCCUACGGGAGGCAGCAGUAAGGAAUAUUGGUCAAUGGGGGCAACCCUGAACCAGCCAUGCCGCGUGCAGGACGACUGCCCUAUGGGUUGUAAACUGCUUUUGCCGGGGAAUAAACCCCACUACGUGUAGUGGGCUGAACGUACCCGGAGAAUAAGGAUCGGCU
rnacentral:rRNA from 1 species